GCGCUAUAGCGCGGCGGCACCCUGAAGCCGAGCUCCGUGAAGACAAGCGGCCUCGUGCAGAAGACCUGCCGCCAGCCAUGAGGCGCUAGCGUUACUAGCCGCCGCGCAGCCGGAAAGACAGCCUACCCUCCCGGGCUCGCCAUGUAUGCGAAGUGGAAGAGCUGCUCCCAUUCGCUGCGAGGAUUACCGUUUGUUAUUGGCUGCUUCUUCCUGUGCCGCUGCUACGGGUUGGCUUAGUUCAGUUUGCAUUCCCACCGUCUGCUUCACUGCUGACGUUACAUCAAGCCGGAAGUGCAGCAGCGCCGCCACGCUCCAUGGAGAGGCGGCUGCCGACGGGAAGUCAGGGGGCUGUGGCUCGCCAGCCAGUGGGAGGGAGGAAGCGGAAAGAGUGGGCAGCGGCAGCCAACAGGCAGGCGUGUUUCAUGCCGGAGUGACGGCGCUGGCGGGGCAGCCAUGAGACGGAGCUGCUCGGUGCAGGGCUGCGCCGCCCGUGACAACUGGCGGAGCCGGGAGCGCGGCAUCUCCUUUCACCAGAGCCGCCGGACGCCGGCCGGAGGAGCAAGCUCCCUGCUCGAGCCCCGAAGGGGCCUCUCCCCAGCCCCACUGCUGGCGUCGCCGUCGAGGACCACAACUACAGCCUGAAGAGGCAGCGGCCAGUGGGCGGGGAGGCCAAGCCGUCCCUGGAGGCCCCGCAAGAGCAGUGCUCCUCAGCCGGGAGAUGCUCCCCUGUGCCUUGGCCCAGAAAGGUGUUGAACAUCCAGGAGCUGGCAGAGAAGCAUCAGCUUUCUGAAGAAACUGUGAGCUUGCUGCAUGCCCAGUUUUCAGCCUUACCCUGUCAGAAAGAAAAGGAUGCUUGCUGUCACUUGAAGAAUGCAAGUUUUUAUUCAUGACACAACUAGAGAACUCUAGUAGAGGCACCACACUCCACACCCUGGCUCCAGUCUUCAGCCAGGCACUUCACUGCUACAGCUUUCAAUUACAAGCACUUCAUGGCUCCCACCACAUGUAGCCCAAGGCCUGCUAGCACAUAUUUUCCAGAAACUCACCUGUGGCCAGGUAAAUGGGGAACUGCUGGGCAGGGCUCUAUGCCUGCAUGGCAGUACGAUUUCAUUUUCCUUCAGCUUCAUUCUGCUCUCCAGAACACACACAGGGGGAAGGAGGAAGAGAAUUCUUUACUGGCGGAACAACACUGAUACGUGGAAUAAAAUGACGGUUGCUGAACAGACACAAGAAAAUGUGAGCAAAUCUUCAGCUGCUCAGAAAAAACCCUUUCUUAACAGCAUCAAGGCACUCAUCCGGUACCCAAGUGCAGCCUUCAGCCUAAACUCACAAAACAAACCCACUCUCGAGAAAACCCUCACUAGAUCCUUGCCGCAAACAUCCUCAACAGACAGCCAGGUCAGAGGGCAAAAAACGGCUUAAAAGAGUCCACUGUCAUAUUCCGAGUUCUUCUUUCAACCCUCCCUGAAGCUCACCUCGGAAACAUCUUGCAGAGCCGGUGGGCGGAGAUCGCCUCAUCGACCGGAACGUGCACCCCACUCCCAACAGGAACGUAAGGAAAAAAACGAGGGGUUUUCUCUCUCACCUCUGUGUCGCCGGCGCUCACUCGCACUCGGCCAACUCCAACGUGGCAGCCGCAACACCACCUACCGCCCGUCGCCAGCAACUUCUGGGCGCCCCGCGACUUCCGGGUGCCAGGGACCGCAGCUCUACCUGCCCCUCCGCGGGAAGCGAGUGUGUGCGUGGCGGGGAGGUGGAGCGGUGUGCGUGUGCCGCUGUCUCGUUCUUCGGGAUCUCCUCCGGCUUUCUCGGGGCAGGAGCAGCGAUCGACACUGGGGAAGACAAAGACAGGCAUUAGAGGCUGGCGCCCCACUAGGGAGUUGGACCAACUGGGACAAGGGGGUUCUCCGGUGCCGCCUGUCCUCCUCAGCUCAAUAGUAGUAAUCACAGUGUUGUCAUGAUGUGAACAGCAGUGAGACUCAUCAUCGGACAGGGGCCGGACCUACGAGCCGUUGGACGCAGGGGGUUAACACUUACACAACAGAGUCAGUGGCACAACCACCGCACCCAGCGACUCGCCGUUUUUCGUGGGCUCGAAGUCCACACAGUUCGUGGUUGGGGGUGCGUCUGGACGCGGCUCCGACCCACCUCUUACGGCAUCCGAAGGACAGCUCCACUGCCGCCUCCUGCCGCCAGAUGCCGCGGCCCCUCAGCGGGCAGAAGCCGUUGCCCGGGGCAAGCGCUGCCCCAGCGCUAUAGCGCAGCGGCACCUCCCGCCUCCGUGGAGGCAAGCGCCCUCGGGCGGCAGGCCUGCCGCCAGCCAUGAGGCGCUAGCGUUGCUAGUCGCCGCGCAGCCGGAAAGACAGCCUACCCUCCCGGCCUCGAAAUAUAUGCGGAGUGGAAGCGCUGCUCCCAUUCGCUGCGAGGAUUACCGUUUGUUAUUGGCUGCUUCUUUCUGUGCCGCUGCUACGGGUUGGCUUAGUUCAGUUUGCAUUCCCACCGUCUGCUUCACUGCUGACGUUACAUCAAGCCGGAAGUACAGCAGCGCCGCCACGCUCCAUGGAGAGGCGGCUGCUGACGGGAAGUCAGGGGGCUGUGGCUCGCCAGCCAGUGGGAGGGAGGAAGCGGAAAGAGUGGGCAGCGGCAGCCAUCAGGCAGGCGUGUUUCAUGCCGGAGUGACGGCGCUGGCGGGGCAGCCUUGAGACGGAGCUGCUCGGUGCAGGGCUGCGCCGCCCGUGACAACUGGCGGAGCCGGGAGCGCGGCAUCUCCUUUCACCAGUGAGUGCGGCCGCCCCCGCGGCGGCUGCCUGUGCCUCGCCCGUGCGGCGUGGCGGAACGUGCAUACUGCCUCAGCACCCGCCUCCCCCCACCUUUCUGUCUACCGCAGGUUCCCGGUGGAUGCCGCGCAUCGCCGCGAGUGGAUCCGCGCUGUGGACCCGUAGAGCCGGCAGCCCUGGCAGCCUGGCCCUCUGUUCGGGGCAGUUCGCAGAGACUGACUUCGAGCGCUAGGGGCUGCUACGCAAAAGACUGUAGUGCAGUUGGAGGAUGCCCAACUUAUAAAUUCUCCAUGGCAGCCUGGGGGGGUUUCACACAGCUUCCUCCAAAGAAUCAGCUCAAAGGGGUGCCAGAAGGUGGUGGACAGAGAGUGUGGUGAGGAGAGUGGCAUUCCCUAUGGGCUGCCCUGCCCUAUCUUCCAAACUGGAUUACAGUGUACGGGGUGGAGAAAGGCAGUUGGAAAGGAGAGCAGCCUGGUGUUGCUGGCCCUCUGCAUUACCUUGAUUUGCACUCUAUGGUUGUUUGUUUUUGUUUUUUUUUUUUUUUUUCCCCCCUUGUUGUCCUGAUCUCCUAUGGAGAGAAACAGGAAGGUGCUCCACAGUCAGUACUUCUGUUUGGCUUCCCAGCACUAGGGUGUGAGAAAAGAAAUUCAGACUAUUCAUUACGAAAGUUGGCUGUCUAACGAUAAGGCUGCUGCUGGCUUCAGCAAUCACAUUUUUCUGUGCCUUCAAGAAAAGGUGGAGAGGGGAGAACAGGCCUACCACUACUGUGCCCUGAUGGUACAAGACAUGUCCCUGCAGAAGCAGCAGGAGUGGGACCCGCAGACGCAGCGCUUUACGGGCUUUGUUUACUUAGGAGCAGGAGUCCUUGAUGCUGAUAAAGCUCCGCUGGCCUCAGAAGCUAUAAUCCUUAAGGCAGUUGGCAUUUCAAGUCCCUGGACAGCUCCACUGGGCUACUUCUUUGUGAACACAACUGGCCACUUGCACAGCUGCUUCAUCAGACCAUUAGUAAGCUGAACAAUAUUGGCAUCACGGUGCUAGCUGUGACAUCAGGUGCCUCUGCUUGUGGUGCUGAGACUGCCAGAGCCCUGAGGAUCAGGAUAGAUCCCAAAAGGAUUCAGUGCACUUUCCAACAUCUGCCCAGCUCUGCUCACAGCAUCACAUACUUUGACAUUUGCCAUGUGCUCCAGCUGAUACUCUGCAGUACUUCCAGAAGAUAGAGUGGCUCAAUGACACCGUGCGGUGUCAGCAUGUGGUUGAGCUGGCAGCUUUGAAGGAGCAGAGAGUAUUAGAGCUGUGCAGUCACAGGUCAGGUGGAUGUGGGAGGAGGGGCAGUUACCACUUGAAGGUCAACUUUGCUACCCUGUUGUUCAAGGAGGGUGUUGCUGAUGUACUGGAACACCUCCAGAAGCUGGGCUUGGCCUCAUUCCAGAACCGUGGUGGUACUGUCAAGUUUGUGCAUGUGAUUAGCCAUCUGUGCAAUGUAUUUCAUGGCAGAGGUCCCUAUAGAAGGGGAUGGAAGGAGCCUUUGCUAGUUGAAAACUACACCAAAAUAAGCCACCUCUUUAAUGAGGCCAAGAGCUUCUUUGUCACCUUAACAGACUCUAUAGGGAGAUGCAUUAUUAAGAGCAAACGCAGACCAGGAUUUCAGACUUUCUUGCUGAAAGCCUCAAGUGGUUCUACACCAACUAUGUGUGUUCAGAGGGUACGCCCUCCCACCAGUUUAUGACCUACGCUUUCGGCCUUGACCCUCUGGAGGUGUUUCUCAGGGCCCUCCAGCAAGCCUGUGGCAGCAGCAGGAGCCCCACCUGCACAGCAUUCCAGGCUGCUUAUCAUAAAGUGCUGGUCAGCUGCAGCCUGGAGCCAGGCUCACCACACAGGAGUGGCUCAGGCAGUACAAGUUCCUUGGAUGUAUCCCUCUCAUAGGAAAGAUCUGACCCUUGGCAUCUUGACCCUUGACCAUCUGACUGGGCAUUUGUGCCCAGUAUAGCCCAGUUUGUGGGAAGACACUGGCAACAGAGUACCCCUAUUGUGCAGGUCUUCUUUUGCAUGGCUCUGCACUGAGUAAUGCGCUGACAGACCUAUCCCUGUGUGCAUAGAGCAUCACCUCUACCACAGGCUUCAUUGCUGAGCAGUUGGCCUCUGACUUGCAAUGUGAAGCUUGUCUUGCUUCCCUCUGAGUCAGAUGAGAGCAGACUGAGAUGCAGGGCAGUGCUCUACAUAAAAAAGUUGGGUGGAGUGAAUUUGCCCUCAGCAAGUGUAUACUACAUAACAAGGAUUUCAGAACAAGUCCUAAACCGGUAUGGCAAAGUAGGAGAUGGCCACAAAACCACAGAAAGUCUUCCAGGAGCUUCGAGGGGAAAGUUCCCUCUUCCCCACCCUCACAGACCAUUUCUUCAAUGGGGAGUUGUGUGUCAACAAUCACUAUACAAUCUUGGUAAGGGAAAUAACACAAUGUUACUUAAACAUUAGAACAAACCGUGCCCAACAUCUGCAUUUGAAAUACCAUCGUGAAAGGUACAGAUUAAAGAGACUGAAGGGAAAACAUUUGUUUCCACUGGCACUAGAACCCACACAGGUCACAAGUACUGGAUGAUGUUGCAAAGAUGGCUGUUGCUGUUGCUUCCUGUAGCUCAAUGUUCAGAUCUAGACAAUGUGUACAAACAAAUGGUGUGGUGCACUCCCACAAUCUGGCUGUCAAAAUGGUUGCUGAUAAGCAGUGAGGUGGUGGGGCCACUGAAAACCCUCUGGUCAGAGUUUGGCUGAGCAAAGGAAGUAAGUUAUCUGAUCCCAUGUUCCAAUUAGCCCUCCUGCAAAGCAGUCAUGUAUUUCAUGAUACUCACAGGGCACGUCAGGAUGGACAAGGGUUACUCAAGAUGCCUGGGAAGGUGAUAAGGGAUACUGCAGAGUGUUCCUUGGAAGUGUGGGGUGGCUUAGUGCUGUGAGUGCGUUUGCCGGGAGAAAACUCACACAUCUUCCACAUGCUUGAGGGGUGAAUCAGGUGCUGGCAGUUCGGUUUCACUAAAGUAGAUCUACUUAAAAAGCAGCUAGAGCAAGAAAGCUUGCAGGGCUUUUACUUGAAAAGCAAGAUAAAGAUGUGAAAAGAAAAUGGCACUCAAGUCAUACACGAGCUCUACACUACACGUCAAAAAAAAAACCCCUUUCUCAUUAAAAAGUUUAAAAGAAAUUGAGAAAUAAAUAUAUGGGCUCAGCCACCUGGUGCUGGCUUGGUAGACACAUAUUGUCCUUUUAUGAACUGUGACACAAUGUGCCAUAAACUGCUAUGCAUGUUUAUAGGCUAGUAACCAAGGGCUCACCUCUGGAAGGAUUCGAUCAGAUACUGAAAAUCCAAGCCAGUACUUCCAUCAGAAGUGGACCUAGUGUUAACAGACCUACUUUGACAUUUUAAUGAAAAUCUUCCAUGUAUAUUUGUCAAUGCUGAAGGAAAG